GACGAACGCUGGCGGCGUGCCUAAUACAUGCAAGUAGAACGCUGAAGAGAGGAGCUUGCUCUUCUUGGAUGAGUUGCGAACGGGUGAGUAACGCGUAGGUAACCUGCCUUGUAGCGGGGGAUAACUAUUGGAAACGAUAGCUAAUACCGCAUAACAAUGGAUGACACAUGUCAUUUAUUUGAAAGGGGCAAUUGCUCCACUACAAGAUGGACCUGCGUUGUAUUAGCUAGUAGGUGAGGUAAUGGCUCACCUAGGCGACGAUACAUAGCCGACCUGAGAGGGGGGUCGGCCACACUGGGACUGAGACACGGCCCAGACUCCUAAGGGAGGCAGCAGGAGGGAAUCUUCGGCAAUGGGGGCAACCCUGACCGAGCAACGCCGCGUGAGUGAAGAAGGUUUUCGGAUCGUAAAGCUCUGUUGUAAGUCAAGAACGGGUGUGAGAGUGGAAAGUUCACACUGUGACGGUAGCUUACCAGAAAGAGACGGCUAACUACGUG
rnacentral:rRNA from 1 species